rnacentral:rRNA from 1 species
UACGAAGGGGGCUAGCGUUGCUCGGAAUUACUGGGCGUAAAGCGCACGUAGGCGGCUUUCUAAGUCGGGGGUGAAAUCCUGGAGCUCAACUCCAGAACUGCCUUUGAUACUGGCGAGCUUGAGUUCGGGAGAGGUGAGUGGAACUGCGAGUGUAGAGGUGAAAUUCGUAGAUAUUCGCAAGAACACCAGUAGCGAAGGCGGCUCACUGGCCCGAUACUGACGCUGAGGUGCGAAAGCGUGGGGAGCAAACAGG